GAUGAACGCUGGCGGCGUGCUUAACACAUGCAAGUCGAACGAUGAAGCCCAGCUUGCUGGGUGGAUUAGUGGCGGACGGGUGAGUAACACGUGAGUAACCUGCCCUUGACUCUGGGAUAAGCCUGGGAAACUGGGUCUAAUACUGGAUAUGACUUCUCAUCGCAUGGUGGGGGGUGGAAAGAUUUAUUGGUCUUGGAUGGACUCGCGGCCUAUCAGCUUGUUGGUGAGGUAAUGGCUCACCAAGGCGACGACGGGUAGCCGGCCUGAGAGGGUGACCGGCCACACUGGGACUGAGACACGGCCCAGACUCCUACGGGAGGCAGCAGUGGGGAAUAUUGCACAAUGGGCGCAAGCCUGAUGCAGCGACGCCGCGCGAGGGAUGACGGCCUUCGGGUUGUAAACCUCUUUCAGUAGGGAAGAAGCGAGAGUGACGGUACCUGCAGAAGAAGCGCCGGCUAACUACGUG
rnacentral:rRNA from 1 species